rnacentral:rRNA from 1 species
AUUGAACGCUGGCGGCAGGCCUAACACAUGCAAGUCGAACGAGUGGCGGACGGGUGAGUAAUGUCUGGGAAACUGCCCGAUGGAGGGGGAUAACUACUGGAAACGGUAGCUAAUACCGCAUACCAUCGGAUGUGCCCAGAUGGGAUUAGCUAGUAGGUGGGGUAACGGAUCACCUAGGCGACGAUCCCUAGCUGGUCUGAGAGGAUGACCAGCCACACUGGAGCUGAGACACGGUCCGGACUCCUACGGAAGUCAGCAGUGAGGAAUAUUGCACAAUGGGCGCAAGCCUGAUGCAGCCAUUCCACGUGUAUGAAGGAGGCCUUCGGGUUGUAAAGUGCUUUCAGCGAGGAGGCGUUACUCGCAGAAGAAGCACCGGCUAACUCCGUGCCAGCAGCCGCGGUAAUUC